GACGAACGCUGGCGGCGUGCCUAAUACAUGCAAGUAGAACGCUGAAGCGAGGAGCUUGCUCUUCUUGGAUGAGUUGCGAACGGGUGAGUAACGCGUAGGUAACCUGCCUUGUAGCGGGGGAUAACUAUUGGAAACGAUAGCUAAUACCGCAUAACAAUGGAUGACACAUGUCAUUUAUUUGAAAGGGGCAAUUGCUCCACUACAAGAUGGACCUGCGUUGUAUUAGCUAGUAGGUGAGGUAAUGGCUCACCUAGGCGACGAUACAUAGCCGACCUGAGAGGGGGAUCGGCCAAACUGGGACUGGGACACGGCCCAGAAUCCUACGGGAGGCAGCAGUAGGGAAUCUUUGGCAAUGGGGGCAACCCUGACCGAGCAACGCCGCGGGAGUGAAGAAGGUUUUCGGAUCGUAAAGCUCUGUUGUAAGUCAAGAACGGGUGUGAGAGUGGAAAGUUCACACUGUGACGGUAGCUGACCAGAAAGGGACGGCUAACUACGUG
rnacentral:rRNA from 1 species